rnacentral:rRNA from 1 species
GAUGAACGCUGGCGGCGUGCCUAAUACAUGCAAGUCGAGCGAACGGACGAGAAGCUUGCUUCUCUGAUGUUAGCGGCGGACGGGUGAGUAACACGUGGAUAACCUACCUAUAAGACUGGGAUAACUUCGGGAAACCGGAGCUAAUACCGGAUAAUAUUUUGAACCGCAUGGUUCAAAAGUGAAGGACGGUCUUGCUGUCACUUAUAGAUGGAUCCGCGCUGCAUUAGCUAGUUGGUAAGGUAACGGCUUACCAAGGCAACGAUGCAUAGCCGACCUGAGAGGGUGUUCGGCCACACUGGAACUGAGACACGGUCCAGACUCCUACGGGAGGCAGCAGUAGGGAAUCUUCCGCAAUGGGCGAAAGCCUGACGGAGCAACGCCGCGUGAGUGAUGAAGGUCUUCGGAUCGUAAAACUCUGUUAUUAGGGAAGAACAUAUGUGUAAGUAACUGUGCACAUCUUGACGGUACCUAAUCAGAAAGCCACGGCUAACUACGUG